rnacentral:rRNA from 1 species
UGGGGAAUUUUGCGCAAUGGGCUAACGCCUGACGCAGCAACGCCGCGUGGAGGAUGAAGGUCUUUGGAUUGUAAACUCCUGUCAGCAGGGAAAAAGGGAAGGGAGCUAAUACCUCUCUGACUUGAUUGUACCUGCAGAGGAAGCCCCGGCUAACUCUGUGCCAGCAGCCGCGGUAAUACAGAGGGGGCAAGCGUUAUUCGGAAUUAUUGGGCGUAAAGGGCGCGUAGGCGGCUUUUCAAGUGACGGGUGAAAUCCCUCGGCUUAACCGAGGAACUGCCUGUCAGACUGGAAGGCUUGAGACCGGGAGAGGUGAGUGGAAUUCCCAGUGUAGCGGUGAAAUGCGUAGAUAUUGGGGGGAACACCAGUGGCGAAGGCGGCUCACUGGACCGGAACUGACGCUGAGGCGCGAGAGCGUGGGGAGCAAACAGG